rnacentral:rRNA from 1 species
CGGCGAGUGAAGCGGCAACAGCUCAAAUUUGAAAUCUGGCCUCUUUGGGGGUCCGAGUUGUAAUUUGCAGAGGGUGCUUUGGCGUUGGCUGUGGUCUAAGUUCCUUGGAACAGGACGUCGCAGAGGGUGAGAAUCCCGUAUGUGGCCGCCAGUCUUCGCCGUGUAAAGCCCCUUCGACGAGUCGAGUUGUUUGGGAAUGCAGCUCUAAAUGGGAGGUAAAUUUCUUCUAAAGCUAAAUAUUGGCCAGAGACCGAUAGCGCACAAGUAGAGUGAUCGAAAGAUGAAAAGCACUUUGGAAAGAGAGUCAAAAAGCACGUGAAAUUGUUGAAAGGGAAGCGCUUGCAGCCAGACUUGCUUGCAGUUGUUCAGCCGGGCUCUUGCCCGGUCUACUCUUCUGCUCGCAGGCCAGCAUCAGUCCGGGCGGUUGGAUAAAGGCCUAUUAAACGUACCUCCCCUCGGGGAGGACUUAUAGGGUAGGCGACAUGCAACCAGCCCGGAUUGAGGUCCGCGCAUCUGCUAGGAUGCUGGCGUAAUGGCUGUAAGCGGCCCGUCUUGAAACACGGACCAAGGAGUCUAACAUCUAUGCGAGUGUUUGGGUGUCAAGCCCGAGCGCGUAAUGAAAGUGAACGGAGGUGGGAACCUUUCGGGGUGCACCAUCGACCGAUCCUGAUGUCUUCGGAUGGAUUUGAGUAAGAGCAUAGCUGUUGGGACCCGAAAGAUGGUGAACUAUGCCUGAAUAGGGUGAAGCCAGAGGAAACUCUGGUGGAGGCUCGCAGCGGUUCUGACGUGCAAAUCGAUCGUCAAAUUUGGGCAUAGGGGCGAAAGACUAAUCGAAC